AAAACAGAGACAUUUGGAACUGAUGACAUUAACCUGCACUUGCUUCCUGAUUGGUUCUUUUCCAUCACAACUCAACAACUAGUGGUGAAGGCAAAACAAUGUAAAACCACUUAAUGACAUCACUCCCCCUCAUCGUGGGUCCAAGGAAAGAAAUCCCUCAUCUUACUUUUUACCAUUGUUGUUUCUUGUUCAAAGGAUUUUCUGUAACUAAGCAA
rnacentral:misc_RNA from 1 species